rnacentral:pre_miRNA from 13 species
UGGAGAGCGAGGCAGUUAAGACUUGCAGUGAUGUUUAGGUAACUUCACCCAUGAACAUCACUUUAAGUCUGUGCUGGCUCUACUCUCAUC